ACAUAGGAACAACAGAGUCAGAUCUUUUAGGUUUAUAACAUCACUGCUAUCAUUUGAAAAUGAAGAGGAUCUUGCUUCUUGCUUUCUUCGCAUUUUUGAUCAGCAGCAGCUAUUGUACUCCUGCUGGUGAUGAUAUAGAUAAUGAAGAAGCAGCUGAUGCUGCAGAAAACAGUAAAUUCAAAGAAACUGAUGACCUUGAUUCAGAAUUGGCGGCUAA